rnacentral:rRNA from 1 species
AUGACUACCUUGGAUACGACCAAACAUAUUGCAUACAUGCAUAUUUGUCAGGUGAUUUCUAGAGCAAAUUAUUCAAUAAUCUAUUUAUGUUAUCCAGAACAAAAAUACUUCACACACUUUUGUGUUUUGUCUAAUUGCAGGUUUUUGGGACAUUUGUACAAUCCACAUAUGAAGAUAGGGGAAAAGGAGAAGUUUAGGUUCUGUUCAAAAAGUCCUCUCACGUCACUUUUGGGCCAAGAGAAGAUAGAGUCCAAGUCUCUCACGUUCUGGAUUCAGAUUCGGACUGCACAGUUAUACCUGACUCAAAAUGCCAACAACUUUUUCAUACGGACUCCGAAUUGGGUGAUUCUUUUUUUGUUGGAAAGUAGAUUUCGUCCUCUUUCCAACCCAACUGGAAUCACCUUUAAAUUCGUCCGGAGCGUUGAGAUAUGUACGAAAUAA